rnacentral:lncRNA from 1 species
AUUAUUUUUAUGUGGUGAUAGUUUUAAUGGGAAAUGCUAGAAUACCUCAAAUUGGGGCUGGCGAGUGGCUCAGUGGGUAAGAGCACUUGCUGCUCUUCCAAAGGACCCAGGUUCAGUUCUCAGCAAUUACAUGGCAGCUCACAACUGGCUGUAAUCCCAGUUCCAGGGGAUCUGACCCCCUCUCAUAGACAUACAAGCAGGCAGAACAUUAAUGUACAUAAAAAUAAGUAAAUUAUUUUUUAAAAGUUUUUAAAGAAUGUCUCAAACUGUGUCCUUUUAUGGGUUUAGUUUAUGUAUAGCCACCUUUCAGGCUUACCUCUAAAAAGCUCUAAAAAUGGAGGCAGUAGGGAGAAUGUUACAUAAUGUAUGGUUCCUUUAAUAGAAAGGGUGGCCACCGGCCUAUGGUAGCAGAAUGCCAGUGGUUGACUGCCAAGUGGCACAAGGGUGAUAGAAUUUGUGAAUUGUACUACAAUGAGAUGUAAUUAAAAGCUGGGAAAAAAAAUGAAAGCCCCUCAACCAAGAAGAUUUGUGGGUUUUGUUUUUGUUUGGGGGGUUUUCUGUUGUUUUCGUUUUAACCUUUAAAAAAUGUUUUUUAGACUUUUUAUCCCAUGUAUGUGGGUAUACUGUUGCUGUCUUCAAGCACACCAGAAGAGGACAUCGGAUUUCCAUUACAGAUAGUUGUGAGCCACCAUAUGGUUGCUGGAAUUGAACUCAGGACCUCUGGAAGAGCAGUCAUUGCUCUUAACUGCUGAGCCAUCUCCCUAGCCCUUCUGUUAUUUUUGAGACAGGGUUUCUCUAUGUAGCCCUGGCUGUCCUGGAACUGGCUUUGUAGACCAAGUUGACAUCAAACCCACAAAGAUCUGCCUGCCUCUGCCUCCCAAGUGCUAAGAUUAAAGGCGUGCAUCACUAC